rnacentral:rRNA from 1 species
AUUGAACGCUGGCGGCAGGCCUAACACAUGCAAGUCGAGCGGUAACACAGGGAGCUUGCUCCUGGGUGACGAGCGGCGGACGGGUGAGUAAUGUCUGGGAAACUGCCUGAUGGAGGGGGAUAACUACUGGAAACGGUAGCUAAUACCGCAUAACGUCGCAAGACCAAAGAGGGGGACCUUCGGGCCUCUUGCCAUCAGAUGUGCCCAGAUGGGAUUAGCUAGUGGGUGGGGUAACGGCUCACCUAGGCGACGAUCCCUAGCUGGUCUGAGAGGAUGACCAGCCACACUGGAACUGAGACACGGUCCAGACUCCUACGGGAGGCAGCAGUGGGGAAUAUUGCACAAUGGGCGCAAGCCUGAUGCAGCCAUGCCGCGUGUAUGAAGAAGGCCUUCGGGUUGUAAAGUACUUUCAGCGGGGAGGAAGGCGUUGUGGUUAAUAACCACAGCGAUUGACGUUACCCGCAGAAGAAGCACCGGCUAACUCCGUGCCAGCAGCCGCGGUAA